GCUACAUGCCUGGUGUGUAUGACUUUUAAAAAAGAGCAUGAUGGGCUGCGCAGAAGCUAUGGAAUUCCAAGGUAUACAAGGACAGGUGAAGUGCAAGUGAGACUGCAUCGUCUGUUGAUCUGUUCGUGCGGUACGCGGACUGCAGUGGAUCUAGCCUGGGGGGGGAGCUGAUUCUUGAUGUGGGCACAAACUUAGGGAAUGAAGUCAAUGCCACCAUUCUUAUCAUCACAGGACACAGAAGAUAAAGGGGAUCCAUAUGGAUGCCUUUGGUGUGGUAUGUAUUACAUAUUUACAUUAAUGUGACAGAAUUAAUGUCAAACCUUAAUGUUAGCAAUGAGACUCACUGUUUAGCUCAUAAUUAUAUUAAUGGGUCACUGAAUAUUCAAGAUCAAUCUAAAUCACUAACGAGGUUUGUUCACUGCUAACAACAAGAAAUAUAAUAAUUCACAUUUUUUAGAU